rnacentral:rRNA from 1 species
GAUGAACGCUAGCGAUAGGCUUAACACAUGCAAGUCGAGGGGCAGCACAAGGUAGCUUGCUAUCUGGGUGGCGACCGGCGCACGGGUGCGUAACGCGUAUGCAACUUGCCCUAUACAGGAGGAUAACCCGUCGAAAGACGGACUAAUACUGCGUAUGCUCACAGCUUGGCAUCAAGUGGUGAGGAAAGAAAUUCGGUAUAGGAUAGGCAUGCGUCCCAUUAGCUUGUUGGUGAGGUAACGGCUCACCAAGGCAACGAUGGGUAGGGGAACUGAGAGGUUUAUCCCCCACACUGGUACUGAGACACGGACCAGACUCCUACGGGAGGCAGCAGUGAGGAAUAUUGGUCAAUGGGCGCGAGCCUGAACCAGCCAAGUCGCGUGAAGGAUGACUGUCUUAUGGAUUGUAAACUUCUUUUAUACGGGAAUAACAAGAGCCACGUGUGACUCCCUGCAUGUACCGUAUGAAUAAGCAUCGGCUAACUCCGUG